AUUGAACGCUGGCGGCAUGCCUUACACAUGCAAGUCGAACGGUAACAGGUCUUCGGAUGCUGACGAGUGGCGAACGGGUGAGUAAUACAUCGGAACGUGCCCGAUCGUGGGGAUAACUACUCGAAAGAGUAGCUAAUACCGCAUACGAUCUACGGAUGAAAGCGGGGGAUCUUCGGACCUCGUGCGGACGGAGCGGCCGAUGGCAGAUUAGGUAGUUGGUGGGAUAAAAGCUUACCAAGCCGACGAUCUGUAGCUGGUCUGAGAGGACGACCAGCCACACUGGGACUGAGACACGGCCCAGACUCCUACGGGAAGCAGCAGUGGGGAAUUUUGGACAAUGGGCGAAAGCCUGAUCCAGCAAUGCCGCGUGCAGGAUGAAGGCCUUCGGGUUGUAAACUGCUUCUGUACGGAACGAAAAGACUCCUUCUAAUACAGGGGGUCCAUGACGGUACCGUAAGAAUAAGCACCGGCUAACUACGUGCCAGCCGCCGCAGUAA
rnacentral:rRNA from 1 species